rnacentral:rRNA from 1 species
GAUGAACGCUGGCGGCGUGCCUAAUACAUGCAAGUCGAACGAGGCCCUUUGUAUUCGUACGAAGGUGUCCUAGUGGCGAACGGGUGAGUAACACGUUGGUGACCUGCCCCGAAGAGAGGGAUAACUCUGGGAAACUAGAGCUAAUACCUCAUACCCUUGAAAGAGUUAGGUUUCUUUUGAGGAAAGGGAGCAAUCCGCUUCGGGAGGGGCCUGCGGUCCAUCAGCUAGUUGGUAGGGUAAUGGCCUACCAAGGCGACGACGGAUAGGGGGCCUGAGAGGGUGGUCCCCCACACUGGAACUGAAACACGGUCCAGACAUCUACGGAUGGCAGCAGUAGGGAAUAUUGCCCAAUGGACGAAAGUCUGAGGCAGCAACGCCGCGUGCGCGAUGAAGGCCUUCGGGUUGUAAAGCGCUUUUCUGGAGGAAGAGGAAGGACGGUACUCCAGGAACAAGUCUCGGCUAACUACGUGCCAGCAGCCGCGGUAAAACGUAGGAGGCGAGCGUUAUCCGGAUUUACUGGGCGUAAAGCGCGUGUAGGCGGUUUGGUAAGUCGGAUGUGAAAGCUCCUGGCUCAACUGGGAGAGGCCAUUCGAAACUACCAGACUUGAGGGCAGUAGAGGAAGGUGGAAUUCUGGGUGUAGCGGUGAAAUGCGUAGAUAUCCGGAGGAACACCAGUGGCGAAGGCGGCCUUCUGGACUGUGCCUGACGCUCAGACGCGAAAGCUAGGGUAGCUA